ensembl:lncRNA
UGGUUACAUCACAGAGUGGAGCGGGGCGUGUGGCUGGUUGGUUACAUCACAGAGUGGAGCGGGGCGUGUGGCUGGUUGGUUACAUCACUGAGUGGAGCGGGGUGUGUGGCUGGUUGGUUACAUCACAGAUGGAGCGGGGCGUGUGGCUGGUUGGUUACAUCACAGAGUGGAGCGGGGGGUGUGGCUGGUUGGUUACAUCACAGAGUGGAGCGGGGGUGUGGCUGGUUGGUUACAUCACAGAGUGGAGCGGGGCGUGUGGCUGGUUGGUUACAUCACAGAGUGGAGCGGGGUGUGGCUGGUUGGUUACAUCACAGAGUGGAGCGGGAUGUGUGGCUGGGGUCCCAGAUGACACAGGGGUUGAUGGACAGUUGUGCAGCAUUGCCUUCCUCUGCAGGCAGGUCC